GAGACUCAUGUGAUGAUGAAUAGCAUAGUUCAACUGAUCUAAUCAUGAUUAAGCAAAUCUUUUAGUCUUUCGCUCCUAUCUGAUGAUUCUC